UACGAAGGGGGCUAGCGUUGUUCGGAAUUACUGGCGUAAAGCGCGCGCAGGCGGUCCUUUAAGUCGGGGGUGAAAGCCCAGAGCUCAACUCUGGAACUGCCUUCGAAACUAGAGGACUUGGGUACGGGAGAGGUGAGUGGAAUUCCGAGUGUAGAGGUGAAAUUCGUAGAUAUUCGGAAGAACACCAGUGGCGAAGGCGGCUCACUGGCCAGUUACCGACGCUCAGGCGCGACAGCGUGGGGAGCAAACAGG
rnacentral:rRNA from 1 species